UGUGUGUGUGUGUGUGUGUGUGUGUGUCUUUUGUUUAAUUCUCUCUACAUUAAUGUAAGGUACUUUCAGAUGAUCAUGAUUUUGUAUUCAUUAGCAUGUCAUAAAAGAAAUUAGCAAUGAUGGUUCAGAUUUGGAGACUCGACAUGUCAAACAGCGUGAUAUGAAAAUCAAGCAGGUACAAAAAAUUUCAGCUAAUCAUCGUUUUGUUUACUUUAGGUAUGGAUGGUUUGAGCACAAUUUGAAGCAACAAAGCAGCGAAGAAUCUUUUGCACCCAUGCACUCUGCAGAAAAGACCAUCGGUGACAAACCUUCAGAUCAUUUUGUGUUUCCAAACAAACCUUCAGAUCCUUUUGAGUUUCCAAACAAACCUUUAGAUCCUUUUGAGUUUCCAAACAAACCUUCAGAUCCUUUUGAGCUUCCAAACAAAUCUUCAGAUCCUUUUGAGUUUCCAAGCAAACCUUCAGAUCCUUUUGAGUUUCCAAGUAAAUUUACCAGUCCAUCCGAUGUGUGUAACACAGAACAG
rnacentral:lncRNA from 1 species